rnacentral:rRNA from 1 species
GACGAACGCUGGCGGCGUGCUUAACACAUGCAAGUCGAACGAUGAAGCCUAGCUUGCUAGGUGGAUUAGUGGCGAACGGGUGAGUAAUACGUGAGUAACCUACCUUUAACUCUGGGAUAAGCCCGGGAAACUGGGUCUAAUACCGGAUACGACCAAUCUCCGCAUGGGGUGUUGGUGGAAAGCGUUAUGUAGUGGUUAUAGAUGGGCUCACGGCCUAUCAGCUUGUUGGUGAGGUAACGGCUCACCAAGGCGACGACGGGUAGCCGGCCUGAGAGGGUGACCGGCCACACUGGGACUGAGACACGGCCCAGACUCCUACGGGAGGCAGCAGUGGGGAAUAUUGCACAAUGGGCGCAAGCCUGAUGCAGCGACGCCGCGUGAGGGAUGACGGCCUUCGGGUUGUAAACCUCUGUUAGCAGGGAAGAAGAGAGAUUGACGGUACCUGUAGAGAAAGCGCCGGCUAACUACGUG